UAUCCCUGGAAUUGACAGUGUAUGAAAUAAUCCCAAGCCCCAGACAUCAGGGCUGAUAACAUCAAAAUGUUACCAGUCCAAAAUGGAUUUAACCAGACCAGACACCAAGAUAUGACUCAGAUGUAUAUAACAUCUAAUUCUUUUACCAGAUCAUCGGGCUGGCUAGCUGUAAAUUUAGACCGUCCGUCUGAAAUCUAGCCCGUCUCGGGCGGUCGGACGGGCCUUAUUUCAUACACUGACUAUUGAGUAGCAAAUACAGGCUCGGGUCCAAAAGGAGAUCACCGUUUGUUACGGUAUCGAAACUUUGAUUUUAUCAAAUUUUCCUAUUUCAUAACAGCAAUAAUCUAUUUUAAAAUGUACUUUUACGAUAAAUUUAGUUUUUAUAGUUUAGUGUCUCGUAAGCCAAUUUAUGGCUGGAAGUCAGUUUUUUCUUUAAGCAUGAAUGUUUAUUAUGUAUGCAUAUUUCUCAGGCG